CUCCACACUCGUCACCGCUGAAGACGUUAAGGAGGGAGGUGGUGGCCAAGUCCAUGGGCGUCACUCUCAUGUGAUUCACUAAAGAAAAAACACAUCAGGAGUUAGCGGUGUUAACAUUCACUGGACUGACAUUUUCCUACUGAAACUGAGGCAAACUAAGACCCAUGUUUUGAGGCAGAUCUGAGAUCAGCAGUUUCUGCUGCACUAGAGUUCAGGAUGUGUCACUUGACUUCACCUCUUCUUAAAAGAAAAAGUUCAGUUCAGGGCCGUUUGUCUGAUUCCCUCAUCCGCAGUUUGGACACGGGUGGAGGUGUGAUGGAGGAGAAGACAAUUCUGACCCUGCAGGGGAAUUUCAUUAGACGGAGACCUCCCUGGACGAGACUGAUAAGAGCAGAGGAGGACGCUGAGGAGGAGGAGAGGGAGGAGGAGGAGAACAGGGCUGUGUUUGACCAAAGACAGCCCUUACUUGUUAUCUCCAUGGAGGAGGACGGGAAAGACAGAGGAGUCAAGAGAGCAGAGCCAAGAGGAGAAGAUUAAAAGAAAUAAGAAGUCACCUGAUCGCCUCAGCACACGGAGGGCUGUCGGAAAGAGGAAGUCUCCAGGACCAUGGCCCGGGUGUGUCUGGAGACACUUCAUGUAGUGAUACUGCCACUGUUCUGAAGCAACAGUACACACUUUAAACCAUGAGUAACAACACCAAGACUUGUCUGCACGGGUUCAUAUGGCCGUUUUACUGUUUCAUUUCUUAAGCUGUCAUGGAUCAUGUUGUUAUUUUCUGUGUUUUAGUCAAGUUUUCUGCUCUGCCCUCAGACCAGACUACGACUGCCUGUUACGUCCUCUCUGGUGGGAAGACCCUCAGCAUCACUCCGGUGGAUAAGAUGUGAAACACGGAGCUCCUCUCACACCAGUGACUGCUGUGUGUGUGUCUGUGUGUGUGUGUGUGUGUGCGUGUCUGUGUUUGUUUGUUGGGAACAUAGGUUGUAGUGGUUAAUUGCUUUUUAGUUUUUUGUGCAUUUUUUUGUGAAGGUAGGGCUAAAUAUACACACACACUGUUACUCACAUAACAGAUGUC